rnacentral:rRNA from 1 species
GAUGAACGCUGGCGGCGUGCCUAAUACAUGCAAGUCGAGCGAAUGGAUUAAGAGCUUGCUCUUAUGAAGUUAGCGGCGGACGGGUGAGUAACACGUGGGUAACCUGCCCAUAAGACUGGGAUAACUCCGGGAAACCGGGGCUAAUACCGGAUAACAUUUUGAACCGCAUGGUUCGAGAUUGAAAGGCGGCUUCGGCUGUCACUUAUGGAUGGACCCGCGUCGCAUUAGCUAGUUGGUGAGGUAACGGCUCACCAAGGCAACGAUGCGUAGCCGACCUGAGAGGGUGGUCGGCCACACUGGGACUGAGACACGGCCCAGACUCCUAUGGGAGGCAGCAGUAGGGAAUCUUCCGCAAUGGACGAAAGUCUGACGGAGCAACGCCGCGUGAGUGAUGAAGGCUUUCGGGUCGUAAAACUCUGUUGUUAGGGAAGAACAAGUGCUAGUUGAAUAAGCUGGCACCUUGACGGUACCUAACCAGAAAGCCACGGCUAACUACGUGCCAGCCGCCGCGGUAA